rnacentral:SRP_RNA from 1 species
CCGUGCUAGACGGGGAGUUAGCGGUGCCCUGUAACCCGGAAUCCGCUAUACCGGGGUUGAAUUCCCACUUGAGGUUCUUUUAUUUUCUGGUGGGAGAUCAGGUGUGCGAUGCUGAAGAUCAGGUCCUGCGCAACCCAAGCUCGCCUAACCCCGCCAGAACCGGAAGGUAGCAACGGUAAGCGAAUCCUUGAGUGUGCCGCAGGGUAGCCUGGUUGGAGUUGGCUACUUGAAAUCCUUCGGAAAACAGGAAUCGAGGGUGGGUGCACGG